rnacentral:rRNA from 1 species
UCACUGUAACGCCCUGAGUGUUGCGGAUGUUUCGCAGAAGUNGACCGAACUUGAUUAUUUAGAGGAAGUAAAAGUCGUAACAAGGUUUCCGUAGGUGAACCUGCGGAAGGAUCANUAAAGUUCUCCUUUCAAGUUAUAAACAAAAACACAAUAUAUAAAAUACUUAUAUUGUAAAAUUAUGGCAAAUGCCAAAAAGAAACAAAAUAACAAUAAUAAAAAUGUUUAUUAUUGUAUCGCCUCCUAGGCAAAAAAGUAUAGUAUAAAGUGUUUGUGUGUGUUACACAUUACACAAAAAUUGACUUAUUUAUAUAAAAUUUGUAAAAACUGAAAUUGUGUGGACGUUAUACAAAAUUAAUUUGUAUAGAAAAUGUCUAAAAAUUUGAAAUACAUAAAAUUAUAGUUGUACUUGUAUAAAAUUGAAAAGUAAUUUUUUAUAUAAGUCAAUCAUUGUUCGUUUUUUAAGAACUUGAGACAUUCGCAACAAAAAUUUUAUGUUUUAGUUAUAAAAGAGAAGAAUAAUAAGCAAAAAUUAUUGAAGGAAUUGAUAUAUGCCAAUUUGAAG